rnacentral:rRNA from 1 species
AGACCCGAAACCCGGUGAUCUAGCCAUGGGCAGGUUGAAGGUUGGGUAACACUAACUGGAGGACCGAACCGACUAAUGUUGAAAAAUUAGCGGAUGACCUGUGGCUGGGGGUGAAAGGCCAAUCAAACCGGGAGAUAGCUGGUUCUCCCCGAAAGCUAUUUAGGUAGCGCCUCGUGAAUUCAUCUCCGGGGGUAGAGCACUGUUUCGGCUAGGGGGCCAUCCCGGCUUACCAACCCGAUGCAAACUGCGAAUACCGGAGAAUGUUAUCACGGGAGACACACGGCGGGUGCUAACGUCCGUCGUGAAGAGGGAAACAACCCAGACCGCCAGCUAAGGUCCCAAAGUCAUGGUUAAGUGGGAAACGAUGUGGGAAGGCCCAGACAGCCAGGAUGUUGGCUUAGAAGCAGCCAUCAUUUAAAGAAAGCGUAAUAGCUCACUGGUCGAGUCGGCCUGCGCGGAAGAUGUAACGGGGCUAAACCAUGCACCGAAGCUGCGGCAGCGACACUCAGGUGUUGUUGGGUAGGGGAGCGUUCUGUAAGCCUGCGAAGGUGGCCUGUGAGGGUUGCUGGAGGUAUCAGAAGUGCGAAUGCUGACAUAAGUAACGAUAAAGCGGGUGAAAAGCCCGCUCGCCGGAAGA